AAAUUGAAGAGUUUGAUCAUGGCUCAGAUUGAACGCUGGCGGCAGGCCUAACACAUGCAAGUCGAACGGUAACAGGAAGCAGCUUGCUGCUUCGCUGACGAGUGGCGGACGGGUGAGUAAUGUCUGGGAAACUGCCUGAUGGAGGGGGAUAACUACUGGAAACGGUGGCUAAUACCGCAUAACGUCGCAAGACCAAAGAGGGGGACCUUCGGGCCUCUUGCCAUCAGAUGUGCCCAGAUGGGAUUAGCUGGUAGGUGGGGUAACGGCUCACCUAGGCGACGAUCCCUAGCUGGUCUGAGAGGAUGACCAGCCACACUGGAACUGAGACACGGUCCAGACUCCUACGGGAGGCAGCAGUGGGGAAUAUUGCACAAUGGGCGCAAGCCUGAUGCAGCCAUGCCGCGUGUAUGAAGAAGGCCUUCGGGUUGUAAAGUA
rnacentral:rRNA from 2 species